GAUGUACUCCCUCCGUCCGGAAAUACUUGUCAUAAAAAUAAAUACAAAUAAAUGUAUCUAGAACUAAACUACAUCUAGAUACAUCCAUUUCUUGAACAAGUAUUUUCGGACGGAGGGAGUAGACU
rfam:Triticum aestivum genome assembly, contig: Triticum_aestivum_CS42_TGACv1_scaffold_577344_7BL